GAUGAACGCUGGCGGCAUGCUUAACACAUGCAAGUCUUUCGCGAAGCUGUUCUUGCACAGCCUAGCCAGGGCGGCCGGGUGAGUAACGCGUCAGGAACUUGCUCUGCAGUCCUGGAUGACAGCCGGAAACGACUGAGAAGACCUGGUAAUAUCAGGCGGACUCGUGUCGAGCCGGUUGAAAAGAGAUGCUGCUGGAGAGCCUUGCGUCCUAUUAGCGUGUUGGUGGUGUAACGGUCCACCAAGGAGACGUUGGGUAGCCGGCCUGAGGGGGUGGACGGCCACAAGGGGACUGAGAUACGGCAGUUACGUCUACGGGAGGCAGGAGGGGGGAAUAGUGGACAAGGGGGGCGACUCUGACCCAGAAAUUGUGUGUGGAAUAUGAAGCUUUUCGGAGUGAAAAGUGCUUUCAUCAGAGAAGAAAAAAAUGACGGUACCUGCAGAAGAAGCGACGGCUAAAUACGUG
rnacentral:rRNA from 1 species